rnacentral:rRNA from 1 species
GGCUUAGAGUUUGAUCAUGGCUCAGGACGAACGCUGGCGGCGUGCUUAACACAUGCAAGUCGAACGGGGUGUUUAUUUCGGUAAACACCAAGUGGCGAACGGGUGAGUAACGCGUAAGCAAUCUACCUUCAAGAUGGGGACAACACUUCGAAAGGGGUGCUAAUACCGAAUGAAUGUAAGAGUAUCGCAUGAGACACUUACUAAAGGAGGCCUCUGACAUAAGCUUCCGCUUGAAGAUGAGCUUGCGUCUGAUUAGCUAGUUGGUGAGGGUAAAGGCCCACCAAGGCGACGAUCAGUAGCCGGUCUGAGAGGAUGAACGGCCACAUUGGGACUGAGACACGGCCCAGACUCCUACGGGAGGCAGCAGUGGGGAAUCUUCCGCAAUGGGCGAAAGCCUGACGGAGCAACGCCGCGUGAGCGAUGAAGGUCUUAGGAUCGUAAAGUUCUGUUGUUAGGGACGAAGGGUAAGAAUCAUAAUAAGGUUUUUAUUUGACGGUACCUAACGAGGAAGCCACGGCUAACUACGUGCCAGCAGCCGCGGUAAUACGUAGGCGGCAAGCGUUGUCCGGAAUUAUUGGGCGUAAAGGGAGCGCAGGCGGGAAACUAAGCGGAUCUUAAAAGUGCGGGGCUCAACCCCGUGAGGGGGUUCGAACUGGUUUUCUUGAGUGCAGGAGAGGAAAGCG